UGAUGUGAGAGCUAUCUGGCUGUGACAUCUGUCACCCACUAAUGGUGAAGUUGAUUCUUGGCUGAUCUGGCUGGCUAAGCAAGCAUCCCCUUCCUCCCUCACUGUUCCAUGUGAGACCCUCCUGAAGCUAUGCUUGGUUCAGGAGGGUGCCUGUCCUCAAUACAGGAGGACUGUUCUUUGAUGAAGAAGAGUAUGCACAUGAGCAGCUGUGGUCCCCAGCUAGAAACAACCACCCCAAACAUUUCAGGAGAGCUUGGGUGGAGAACUGCAUCCCAAAGGAUGCACUAUGUGGUCCAGCUGG
rnacentral:snRNA from 1 species